rnacentral:rRNA from 1 species
AGAGUUUGAUCCUGGCUCAGGACGAACGCUGGCGGCAUGCUUAACACAUGCAAGUGGAGCGACGAACCUUUUAGGGGCAAAGCCGCGAACGGGUGAGUAACACGUGGGCAAUCUGCCCCGAUGACUGGAAUAACACGAGGAAACUCGGGCUAAUACCGCAUACCUUCCGAUGACCGCAUGGUCGACGGAAGAAAGAAUUUCGCUCUGGGAGGGCCUCGCGGCCUAUCAGCUUGUUGGUGGGGUAGCGGCCCACCAAGGCAACGACGGGUAGCUGGUUUGAGAGAACGAUCAGCCACACUGGAACUGAGACACGGUCCAGACUCCUACGGGAGGCAGCAGUGGGGAAUCUUGCGCAAUGGGCGAAAGCCUGACGCAGCAACGCCGCGUGCGGGAUGACGGCCUUCGUGGUUGUAAACCGCUUUCAGCAGGGACGAAAAUGACGGUACCUGCAGAAGAAGCCCCGGCUAACUACGUGCCAGCAGCCGCGGUAAUACGUAGGGGGCAAGCGUUGUCCGGAUUCAUUGGGCGUAAAGAGCUCGUAGGCGGUUCAGUAAGUUGGGUGUGAAAGCUCCGGGCUCAACCCGGAGAGGCCACCCAAUACUGCUGUGACUAGAGUCCAGUAGAGGAGCGUGGAAUUCCUGGUGUAGCGGUGAAAUGCGCAGAUAUCAGGAGGAACACCAUUAGCGAAGGCGGCGCUCUGGGCUGGAACUGACGCUGAGGAGCGAAAGCGUGGGUAGCAAACAGGAUUAGAUACCCUGGUAGUCC